AGAGUUUGAUCCUGGCUCAGGAUGAACGCUAGCGGCAGGCUUAAUACAUGCAAGUCGAGGGGCAGCAUGACUGUAGCAAUACAGUUGAUGGCGACCGGCAAACGGGUGCGGAACACGUACAGAACCUUCCUUCGAGCGGGGAAUAGCCCAGAGAAAUUUGGAUUAAUACCCCAUAGUACAUUAGAGUGGCAUCACUUUGAUGUUAAAGAUUUAUCACUUGAAGAUGGCUGUGCGGCUGAUUAGGUAGUUGGCGGGGUAACGGCCCACCAAGCCUGCGAUCAGUAACUGGUGUGAGAGCACGACCAGUCACACGGGCACUGAGACACGGGCCCGACUCCUACGGGAGGCAGCAGUAAGGAAUAUUGGUCAAUGGACGAAAGUCUGAACCAGCCAUGCCGCGUGGAGGAUGAAGGUCCUCUGGAUUGUAAACUUCUUUUAUAUGGGACGAAAAAAGGGUUUUCUAACUCGUCUGACGGUACCAUAUGAAUAAGCACCGGCUAACUCCGUGCCAGCAGCCGC
rnacentral:rRNA from 1 species